UGUUGCAAAUGGUUAGUGUGCUUGACUGCUAAUCAAAAGGUUGGCGGUUCGAUUCCACCCA
rnacentral:tRNA from 1 species